rnacentral:rRNA from 1 species
GUCCACGCCGUAAACGAUGAGUGCUAGGUGCUAUGGGUAUUGACCCCUGUGGUGCCGUAGCUAACGCGUUAAGCACUCCGCCUGGGGAGUACGGUCGCAAGACUAAAACUCAAAGGAAUUGACGGGGGCCCGCACAAGCGGUGGAGCAUGUGGUUCAAUUCGACGCAACGCGCAGAACCUUACCUGGGUUAAAAUCCACUCGAACUGGACAGAGAUGUCUGGGUGCCCCCUGUGGGAGCGAGUGAGAAGGUGCUGCAUGGCUGUCGU